CAGUAGCCACGGGAAUACGGAGGGAGCUAGCGUUGUUCGGAAUUACUGGGCGUAAAGCGCACGUAGGCGGUUAUUCAAGUCAGAGGUGAAAGCCCGGGGCUCAACCCCGGAACUGCCUUUGAAACUAGAUGACUAGAAUCUUGGAGAGGUCAGUGGAAUUCCGAGUGUAGAGGUGAAAUUCGUAGAUAUUCGGAAGAACACCAGUGGCGAAGGCGACUGACUGGACAAGUAUUGACGCUGAGGUGCGAAAGCGUGGGGAGCAAACAGGAUUAGAUACCCGCGUAGUCCCUGUCUCUUAUAC
rnacentral:rRNA from 1 species